CUGGGCAGCAGUGGUGAUGGCUGUGCUGUCCGUCGGCGAGUGGUCUGAGAGUGUCUUUGUGCUUCCUCCUCAGGUGUCGAUUGACUGCCCGUGGUCCAUCUACUCCACGGUCAUCGCACUGACCUUCAGCGUACCCUUCAGGACCACACACACCCUCCUGUCCUCAGGAACACGGAAAUAUGUUCAAGUUUGUGUCCAGAAUUUGUCAGAACUUGACUUUCAGCUGUCAGAUAGUUAUCUUGUAGAUACCGGUGAUAGUACCGACCUGCAACUAGUACCACUGAACACGCAGUCCCAGCAGCCCAUCUACAGCAAGCAGUCGGUGUUCUUCGUCUGGGAACUCAAGUGGACAGAAGAGCCUCCCCCUUCUCUGCAUUGCCGGUUCUCUGUUGGAUUUUCCCCAGCUUCUGAGGAACAGCUGUCUAUCUCCUUAAAGCCGUAUACUUAUGAAUUUAAAGUGGAAAAUUUUUUUGGUGGCCCUGGCCCCCUUGUCAGAUUCCAGCUGGCCAUCAGUGCUCGCGUGUCUCUCUGAAGAGGCUCCGCGGUUCUGGUCCCUGUGCCUGAGCUCCAGGUGCCGCCAGACAUUAUACAACGUGAAGGCUGAGAUCUUUCCCCCUUCGGGAAUGGAGUAUUGCAGAACAGGCUCCCUCUGCUCCCUGGAGGUUUUGAUCACGAGGCUCUCAGACCUCUUGGAGGUGGAUAAAGAUGAAGCACUGACUGAAUCUGAUGAGCAUUUUUCGACAAAGCUUAUGUAUGAAG
rnacentral:sRNA from 1 species